CCCGCCCCGCGACGGCCCGGGCACGGGACCCCCCGGCUCAUGUCAGAGAGAUGCGUUUACCUAAUCCGGGGAUCCCAAGUCUCCGGUGAGGCCGGGGGGGGGGGGGGGGGCAGAGAAAGAGGGACUCCGAUCUCGGAACUGUGAAGUUUUUCAGACCUCCGUCGCUAAAAUGUGAAGAGAAGAGGAAGGGGAGAAGCUAAAGGAUCAAAGGAGGCCAGUUACUCUGCGCAUUCGCAGACCAGGACGAACGUAACGGGGACGCUAUGCAAUACACUCGCCGACGACGUCGGCUUUUCCCUUCUGUCGUAGAAAUCCACAAAAAA